GGCCGGGCCAGGGCGCACGCGCGCCGCCGCCGCCGCCGGGCGCGUUCUGAGUCUGGGCGGGGCCGGUGGUCGCGCAGGCGCGCGCCUACCCGGUGGGGAGUGACGCGGAGGCUCCCCUGGGAUCCCGGUCACCAAAACUCCCGCAGGCCUUUCCCCGGGGAGACUGGGGGCCUGUUACCAGCAGUCGCCGCCCAGCCUUGACUGCCUGGGUGAAUCAGGUGCUAAUCAGAGCCUUGGGCUUGGCAGCUCCCCUGUCUGGGUUUUCUGAGUGCGCCCGAUUUAGGCUGGGUGGGGGGAUUCCUACGGCCCUGCCCCACCCACGAAGACCGAGAAGGCUCACCCGGUGGCGAAAGGUGGGCUCGGUGACUCAUCUCUGAGAUGACCUCACCUCCCGACCCCAGCGGAGCAGAUGUCCGGAUUUGAGACCUCAUACCGUGACUUUGGACGGCUAGUGCGUUCCCUUCUUCAGAUUAUAAACUGGCUCGAGUAGGUGCAUGGGUGUGUUGAUUCAAGUGCUUCUGGAAAGCCCCUUCCCUUGCUAAGCACCACGGUCAUGUCCACAUCGUGUUUCUGCCUGGAGUGGAAUACUCUCUAACACAACUGUUCAGAACAGCCAAGCCAGUGGGGCAGGAAGGCCUCUGCUCUGUGGUUGUUUUAUUCAAGCCGCGCAUGAAGGUUCUUUCUGUUAUAAAGCUUCUGAACUACCAACGUGGAUGCUAGAGACAAGCAACAAGGAGAGUCAGAAGAGUCGGCAGGGUGUGCAGCAGGGCAACGGAGAGGAGAAGAGGGACACUCUCCACGCCCACAGAAG
ensembl:lncRNA